CUGCCAAUCCGCAUUUGGACCACGUGGUAGGCUAUGGCUAAAACCUGUUCUCACUCUGAGAGGAGACCCGUGCUCUGUAGUGAGCCGGCGAUGG